rnacentral:lncRNA from 1 species
CCUCAUAAUAAAGUUGUUGUUUCAGAAGUAACCCGAGUAUUCUUAGCACCGCCUCUCCAGGCUGAUGUCGAGUAUUAUUACCACCGCCUCUCCAGGCCGACCUUCUUCGCUAUCUCCAUUAACUUUUUAUCUUCGAGGCAUCGGGUAACAACACUCCAUGUUUUACCCAUCAUCCCGAACAUUACAAUUGCUUCCAUCUUCACUUUCCACAAUUCCAAAUUGCUUUUGGAAAGUCCCUCGAUAUCCGACUUAAAACCCAUGGUGCUCACUUCAAAUUGUUCCGAUUGCCCCACGGUGGGCGCCAAUUGUUGUGAAUUCGUCAAUAAAUCACACCAAUGAAAAGAACUUGAUG